AUUGAACGCUGGCGGCAGGCCUAACACAUGCAAGUCGAGCGGAUGGAGGGAGCUUGCUCCUGGAUUCAGCGGCGGACGGGUGAGUAAUGCCUAGGAAUCUGCCUGGUAGUGGGGGAUAACGUCCGGAAACGGGCGCUAAUACCGCAUACGUCCUGAGGGAGAAAGUGGGGGAUCUUCGGACCUCACGCUAUCAGAUGAGCCUAGGUCGGAUUAGCUAGUUGGUGGGGUAAAGGCCUACCAAGGCGACGAUCCGUAACUGGGCUGAGAGGAUGAUCAGUCACACUGGAACUGAGACGCGGUCCAGACUCCUACGGGAGGCAGCAGUGGGGAAUAUUGGACAAUGGGCGAAAGCCUGAUCCAGCCAUGCCGCGUGUGUGAAGAAGGUCUUCGGAUUGUAAAGCACUUUAAGUUGGGAGGAGGGGCAGUAAGUUAAUACCUUGCUGUUUUGACGUUACCAACAGAAUAAGCACCGGCUAACUUCGUG
rnacentral:rRNA from 1 species